rnacentral:rRNA from 1 species
UUGGGCGCUAGGUGUGGGCCGCAUUCCACGGGGUCCGUGCCGCAGCUAACGCAUUAAGCGCCCCGCCUGGGAGUACGGCCGCAAGGUAAAACUCAAAGGAAUUGACGGGGCCCCGCACAAGCGGCGGAGCAUGCGGAUUAAUUCGAUGCAACGCGAAGAACCUUACCAAGGCUUGACAUGCAGGGAAAUCCUCCAGAGAUGGUGGUCCGCAAGGUCCUGCGCAGGUGGUGCAUGGUUGUCGUCAGCUCGUGUCGUGAGAUGUUGGGUUAAGUCCCGCAACGAGCGCAACCCUCGUUCGAUGUUGCCAGCGGGUGAUGCCGGGGACUCAUCGGAGACUGCCGGGGUCAACUCGGAGGAAGGUGGGGAUGACGUCAAAUCAUCAUGCCCCUUAUGUCUUGGGCUUCACGCAUGCUACAAUGGCCGGUACAAUGGGCUGCGAGACCGUGAGGUGGAGCGAAUCCCAAAAAGCCGGUCUCAGUUCGGAUCGGGGUCUGCAACUCGACCCCGUGAAGUCGGAGUCGCUAGUAAUCGCAGAUCAGCAACGCUGCGGUGAAUACGUUCCCGGGGCUUGUACACACCGCCCGUCCACGUCACGAAAGUACGGUAUACACCCGAAGGCCGGUGGCCCCAACCCGUAAGGGAGGGAUGCUGUACGAAGGUGGGACUGGCGAU